rfam:Erinaceus europaeus unplaced genomic scaffold scaffold01251, whole genome shotgun sequence
GUGCUCACUUCAGCAGCACAUAUACUAACAUUGGAACGAUACAGAUCAGAUUAGCACGGCCCCUG